rnacentral:rRNA from 1 species
CCUACGGGGGGCUGCAGUGGGGAAUAUUGGACAAUGGGCGAAAGCCUGAUCCAGCAAUGCCGCGUGAGUGAUGAAGGCCCUAGGGUUGUAAAGCUCUUUUACCCGGGAUGAUAAUGACAGUACCGGGAGAAUAAGCCCCGGCUAACUCCGUGCCAGCAGCCGCGGUAAUACGGAGGGGGCUAGCGUUGUUCGGAAUUACUGGGCGUAAAGCGCACGUAGGCGGCUGUUCAAGUCAGAGGUGAAAGCCUGGAGCUCAACUCCAGAACUGCCUUUGA